CAUGACUGAAUGAGAAAAUUUGGGCAGCUCUGCUACUUUACUAAAAUUCCAGUAAACAUAUUAAUAUCUAUUCAUAAAUCAUCUUGGUAAAGAGAGCUCAAGAGUGAUAGCAUAGAGCUAAAUGAAAUUCAGAGUCCUUGGAGGCUCAUGGGCAUAGCAUGCCAAAUCCAUACUCGCCGGCCCUGGGAGCCCAGCAUUCACAAGCUGUGAGCCAAACCAUUCCCAGGCUGGCCUUUGCAUGCUGUAAGCUGUAUGCUGAAGUUUGUGGGGAUGUGAAAGUGGGAAUGAGUGCAUAGCACCUCAAGUUUGGAUGGGGAGGUGCUGCCUGACUUGGUUUUUUACACGUAAAUCAAUUGGUUUCCUUCCCCUGAUAGCAGGAAAGGACUUGGAGCUGCAUGCAGUGCCUGGGUCUUUCUCUGCAGUGUAAAUCCCAGCACCUGCCAACAAUCCAAAAGAGCUGCUGUGGUAUUAUUUCUUAUUGCAAAGCAAAUUUUGCACCAAUGGAGAACAGCAAAGAGCUAUUCCAUUUUGGUAGUGUAAUCUGAGAGCAAUAAAGUCCUGUUCCCAGCAAUCAUGGGCAAUGAAAAAGACGCUCAAGAGCUUAGCCAAAAAGAAAAGAAACCCAAAGCCUCUCAAAUGGCGAGCUUGUUCCAACCAAGGUACUAAAUUCCCUGGCCAUAGUGUGAACCAACUGAAUAAACACACAGCUAAUUCAUCAGCAUCCUGGACAUUUGGGCAAGGCAUUGGAAGCUUUUGUUUCUCCAGUGCUUUGUACAGCUUAUUUCUUGCUUAGAACUAAAAUGCUUGAAAAAUACACACUUUGAAUUGUUGACAGAAACCUGAGAACAGAUCACUGACCUCUACAGUGCUGACACUCUUGUUUCCCAGUUUGCAAAACUGUUCCAUGAUGAAGAACAAUAAAGACUGCACAGGCAGGAAAAUAAAGAAGAGGGGGCAAAAAAUAAAACCUGGUUUCCACUAGGUGCGUUGGCCAGGCUGUUUGGUGAGCUGGUCAAGCCUCUUGUCAAUUAUGACCUGGAUCUCCUCUUCUUCAAUUAGAAAAGCUUAGGUUAAAUGGUACAAAUCUCUGAUUUACUUGGGAUCUCCUAUUUUCCCCAAUGAACCAGAUUCAUGCAGCAUUUUUUUCAUAUUAUUAUUAGGGUUUUUGUCUCUGGAAAGAUAUCACUCGGGAGUUAAGGAGCAUGACUCUAAAACUUAACCUCCACAGGCCAUAUCCCUUCCAGCCAUUAUUCCUGGAUCAUUUCUAACCAGUUACCUGCUGUCGACUGAGCAGGAUAUGUGCUAGGUGCUUGCCUACUUCAGCAGAGCGAUGGAGACACACUCCCCAGGGGUUGUCAAUGACACUGGCAACAGUCAAGAGCGAGGUUGGCCAAGUCAAAGCUGUCACAAUACCUGCCACACACAAAGCAAACAGCACAGCACAGUCACAAAUCGGGGCUGCUCUUGGGAAACAUCAAAAGCAAGACAGGUCACUGAAGUUGAAAGCUAAACCUGGGAACUUGUCAUUUCCAGUUUCUUCUUUCUCAAGAGCUGAUUUAAGCAAUGUUUUGCUAGAUGGAAGAUAAGAAAGAAGCUGAUGUUCUGAUAUGGAGACAAACAGACACUGUGCAUGAAUGUAACCUGCAUGUCUGAAAGCUUUAUGUAAAGCAGUAAAACCCAGUGUAACAACAGAGAGAAAUAAACACAGUCACACGUCAA